rnacentral:rRNA from 1 species
GAUGAACGCUAGCGGCAGGCCUAACACAUGCAAGUCGAGGGGCAGCACGGGUAGCAAUAUCUGGUGGUGACCUGCGCACGGGUGAGUAACGCUUAUGCAAUCUACCUCUGACAGGGGAAUAGCUCCGAUAAAUCGGAAUUAAUACCCCGUCACAUUACGAUCAGGCAUCCAAGUGUAAUUAAGGCUCCGGCGGUCAGGGAUUGGCAUGCGUGCCAUUAGCUUGUUGGUAAGGUAACGGCUUACCAAGGCUGCGAUGGCGAGGGGGUCUGAGAGGAUGAUCCCCCAAACUGGUACUGAGACACGGACCAGACUCCUACGGGAGGCAGCAGUGAGGAAUAUUGGUCAAUGGACGCAAGUCUGAACCAGCCAUGCCGCGUGAAGGAUGAAUGCCCUAUGGGUUGUAAACUUCUUUUGUACGGGACGAAACCCCUGGACGUGUCCGGGGCUGACGGUACUGUACGAAUAAGCAUCGGCUAACUCCGUGCCAGCAGCCGCCGUAACAC